GUGAGGAAUAUUGGUCAAUGGGCGAGAGCCUGAACCAGCCAAGUCGCGUGAAGGAUGAAGGUUUUAUGAAUUGUAAACUUCUUUUGCAGGGGAAUAAAGUACGGUACGUGUACCGUUUUGUAUGUACUCUGCGAAUAAGGAUCGGCUAACUCCGUGCCAGCAGCCGCGGUAAUACGGAGGAUCCAAGCGUUAUCCGGAUUUAUUGGGUUUAAAGGGUGCGCAGGCGGGUUGAUAAGUCAGCGGUGAAAGUUUGCAGCUUAACUGUAAAAUUGCCGUUGAAACUGUCGAGCUUGAGUGCAAAUGAGGUAAGCGGAAUGUGUUGUGUAGCGGUGAAAUGCUUAGAUAUAACACAGAACUCCGAUUGCGAAGGCAGCUUACUAAGCUACAACUGACACUGAAGCACGAAAGCGUGGGGAUCAAACAGGAUUAGAUACCCCAGUAGUCC
rnacentral:rRNA from 1 species